rnacentral:rRNA from 1 species
AUUGAACGCUGGCGGCAUGCUUUACACAUGCAAGUCGAACGGCAGCGCGGGCUUCGGCCUGGCGGCGAGUGGCGAACGGGUGAGUAAUGCAUCGGAACGUGCCCAGUAGUGGGGGAUAGCCCGGCGAAAGCCGGAUUAAUACCGCAUACGACCUGAGGGUGAAAGCGGGGGACCGAAAGGCCUCGCGCUCUUGGAGCGGCCGAUGUCGGGUUAGCUAGUUGGUGGGGUAAAGGCUUACCAAGGCGACGAUCCGUAGCUGGUCUGAGAGGACGACCAGCCACACUGGGACUGAGACACGGCCCAGACUCCUACGGGAGGCAGCAGUGGGGAAUUUUGGACAAUGGGGGCAACCCUGAUCCAGCCAUGCCGCGUGCGGGAAGAAGGCCUUCGGGUUGUAAACCGCUUUUGUGCGGGAAGAAAUCCUCUGGGCUAAUACCCCGGGGGGAUGACGGUACCGGAAGAAUAAGCACCGGCUAACUACGUG